CCCGCACAAGCGGUGGAGUAUGUGGUUUAAUUCGAUGCGACGCGAAGAACCUUACCUGGUCUUGACAUCCCGGAGACCCUUAGGAAACUAGGGGGUGCUUCCAUCUGGAAGAAUCUGGAGACAGGUGCUGCAUGGCUGUCGUCAGCUCGUGUCGUGAGAUGUUGGGUUAAGUCCCGCAACGAGCGCAACCCUUGCCUUUAGUUGCCAGCAGUUCGGCUGGGCACUCUAAAGGGACUGCCGGUGUUAAACCGGAGGAAGGUGGGGAUGACGUCAAGUCCUCAUGGCCUUUAUGACCAGGGCUACACACGUACUACAAUGGCCGAUACAAAGGGCAGCGACACUGCGAGGUGAAGCCAAUCCCGUAAAAUCGGUCUCAGUCCGGAUUGGAGUCUGCAACUCGACUCCAUGAAGUUGGAAUCGCUAGUAAUCGUGGAUCAGCAUGCCACGGUGAAUACGUUCCCGGGCCUU
rnacentral:rRNA from 1 species